rnacentral:rRNA from 1 species
GAUGAACGCUGGCGGCGUGCCUAAUACAUGCAAGUCGAGCGAACAGACGAGGAGCUUGCCCCUCUGACGUUAGCGGCGGACGGGUGAGUAACACGUGGAUAACCUACCUAUAAGACUGGGAUAACUUCGGGAAACCGGAGCUAAUACCGGAUAAUAUAUUGAACCGCAUGGUUCAAUAGUGAAAGACGGUUUUGCUGUCACUUAUAGAUGGAUCCGCGCCGCAUUAGCUAGUUGGUAAGGUAACGGCUUACCAAGGCAACGAUGCGUAGCCGACCUGAGAGGGUGAUCGGCCACACUGGAACUGAGACACGGUCCAGACUCCUACGGGAGGCAGCAGUAGGGAAUCUUCCGCAAUGGGCGAAAGCCUGACGGAGCAACGCCGCGUGAGUGAUGAAGGUCUUCGGAUCGUAAAACUCUGUUAUUAGGGAAGAACAAAUGUGUAAGUAACUAUGCACGUCUUGACGGUACCUAAGCAGAAAGCCACGGCUAACUACGU